rnacentral:tRNA from 1 species
GCUCUCGUAGCUCAGUUGGUAGAGCGCGGCACUAGUAUAUGAUCACGUGAAAGUCACGUGACCUGCAUAUGCCGAGGUCUACGGUUCAAAUCCGUACGGGAGCA